rnacentral:rRNA from 1 species
GACGAACGCUGGCGGCGUGCCUAACACAUGCAAGUCGAACGGAGAUUUCAGCAAUGAAAUCUUAGUGGCGAACGGGUGAGUAACGCGUAGACAACCUGCCUUUUAGAUGGGGACAACACUGGGAAACUAGUGCUAAUACCGAAUGUUGUAUUUUGGUCGCAUGAUAGAAAUACUAAAGAUGGCCUCUAUUUAUAAGCUAUCACUAAAAGAUGGGUCUGCGUCUGAUUAGCUAGUUGGUGAGGUAAUGGCUCACCAAGGCGACGAUCAGUAGCCGGUCUGAGAGGAUGAACGGCCACACUGGGACUGAGACACGGCCCAGACUCCUACGGGAGGCAGCAGUGGGGAAUCUUCCGCAAUGGACGAAAGUCUGACGGAGCAACGCCGCGUGAGUGAAGAAGGUUUUCGGAUCGUAAAACUCUGUUUUCAGGGACGAAUGUGCAGCUUGUGAAUAAUUAGCUGUAAUGACGGUACCUGAGUAGAAAGCCACGGCUAACUACGUGCCAGCAGCCGCCGUAAGAC